CAGGUGUGGUGGCGCAUGCCUGUAAUCCCAGCUACUCAGGAGGCUGAGGCAGGAGAAUCGCUUGAACCCAGGAGGCAGAGGUUGCGGUAAGCUGAGAUUGUGUGAUUGCACUUCAGCCCGGGUGACAGAACGAGACUCUGUUUAAAAAAAAAAAAAAAAUUAAUGCAAUCUAGCGUCAGUUAGAUGUACAUUGCUGAGGUCCUUUAUCUGUUGUAGAUUUUUCCCCCUUUUUAUUGCAUCAGGCAUAUUACCCUGUAAAUUGUGGUAGUGAUAGCAGGAAUAAAAAAUUAAGUAAUUUUAUUGGGAGCAGAGGACUGCCGAGUUGUCUGAGGAGGGGUAGACUGGCCCAGGUUGGAAACAGAGCAGGUCAAAAUUCUCAUGCUGAUCAGUAGUGGAGUCACACCUGUGAGUAGCCACUGCACUUUGUCCUGGGCAGCAAGCGAGACCCUGUCUCUA
rfam:Pan troglodytes isolate Yerkes chimp pedigree #C0471 (Clint) chromosome 1, whole genome shotgun sequence.